ACAACACUACUAUACUAUACACACCACAAGACAAAGACCCAAAAAAAAUGGUGAAACAAGUGAGUCACUCUCUAUUACUCAUCAAAUGCUUUAUUCUUUUCCUCCUUCUAUUUGCAACUUCUUUGGUUUCACUUCACUCAUCAACAGAACAGAAGAAGAAAGUUGUGUGGCAUAGGAAGCCUUGGAUGAACCAUGGAAGCUCACGUGGCCCAAGGAAACACCUUGUGAACCCAACAACACUUUAUGAGAAUCCAUUGCAGGCUCGUCAAUUUCCUGUUUAGUUUUAAUUUCUCUUCUUCAUUCAUAGUUUCAUUUUCAUACCCCAUUUUCUAAGUUUUAUAAUUAUUCCCAAUAAUUAUGGAAACUUAAUUAUUAUUAAUUCUUCCUUUUUGUGUCACCUUGUAUAUCUGAUGAUGUAUUUGUAUUUUGAUGAUUUGGUUUGAUAUAUAGAUUUAUGAUGAAAAUGGAUCAAUUAUUGAUCUUUUAUGAGUGUAUAUCAUACAUAAAGCAAAAUCAAUUUGAUUGUUAUCUAUGAUAAGGAGGACUUGAAUUUGGUCAAAUUUUAGUUGCUUGGAAUCUAAAAAGCUAGUGGGAAUAUCAGGUCAAUGUUUCAAUAAUCACGUUGAAAAUUCGUUGUAAUUAUUUUAUGCCAAAAAUAAUGCACCACUCCUUUGUUAUUU
rnacentral:lncRNA from 1 species